GCUGGGGCGAGGCCCGGGGGUUCUGUGGGUUCCCGCACAGGUGCGAGCGCCGCUUUCAGGUGUGAGAGAGGCAGGGAGGCGCUCGUUGUGAUUGAGCUGUAAUUGCAGGCAGUGUUCUCGUCCUUAAACGUUUAAGUUGCGUUUUAAUUACCUAAAUGAUAUGCCGUGGAUCCGUUUCUCCUUUUAAGCGUGUAAUUUCAAAGCUUUCCGUGUAGUUUAGCGGCGUGUUUUGUUGCUCGUGUCACUCGCCCUGAAAGCGCUUAGCAGGACGGGGUCGUCCUGUGCCUUCGGAGCCACGGAAACGCCAACUGAUUCCCCUUUGGAAAGCUGUUCCUUUCGGUGCUGUUCCUUGGAGGCAGUGACGUGAAGAGCAGCGCUGUGGUGAAGUACUCCUUGGCCCCACCGCAGGCAGCCUUUGCCUGGCUGCAGGAGAAGACAGACCUGAAGCUGCCGCCUGCAAAUUGGUUGCGUGAAAGUGCCAGGCUGGGACCUGCGAGCACGACUGUUCUGGGCAACAACAAGAGCACACUGUUCUCGAGCUUUGGUAUGGAAUAUGACUUCAUUGACUCCAUUGGAAAUGAUGUGGAUGUUGUGUCUGAUUCCAAGAACAUUUAAAAAACUUCUGAAGAUACCUUACAGCAAGUCACAUGUGAGCAUGGCAGUGUAUCGCAUUGGGAGGAUGCUCUUGUUGGAUGAGCUGGAUAUUCAAGAGCUCUUCAUGAGAUCAUCUCAGACAGGGACUGCACGUGGCUGAAGGAGUUUUAUCGAAGGCUAAUUGAUCAGAAGUGGCAAAGAAAAAAGAAGAGUAAACAGCACUGGUACCAGAAGGCUAUCCUUUCCAAAUUCUUGUGUUACAGCAUUAAUGGUGAUGGAGCUGCUCAGCCUGUUCCUUCCAGU